GGGGAGACCAUGCCUCAGUGACGGAGCAUCUGCUUGCCAUGCAAAUGGUCCCAGGUUCAAUCCCGGGCUUCUCCA
rnacentral:tRNA from 1 species